CUCCCAUACCCCUCUAGGGUUUCGAAAUCCGGCGACCAUGCCGUACAUCCCUCCACACAAGCGGCUCUCCGGCGACGCCAAAACCUCAACCCGCUCCUCGCCGGCGGCCGACUCCCUCGCCGAUCGCUUCAGCAACUCCCUCAGGUUCGGCAGGAACCGCCGUCCCCACUCCCUCCCGGGCGGCAAGGUCAACUACGCCCGG
rnacentral:misc_RNA from 1 species